GCCGGGGCUGGGACCGGCCGGGGCGCGGGGACACGCCGGGCCGGCCCCGGGACCCCCGAGGAGGGGUGCCGCCCGUACCCCCCGCGGGAUCGGAGCUUCCCCGCUCGGGCACCCCCGAGGCCACCGCACCCGCUCCCGGGGCGAACAUCGCCCGUCUCCCCCUUAAACGCGGCCCCAGGAGGUUCCCACCCCCAGGGCCCCCCGGGAACGAGGGCUCUGGGGCCCGCCGGGGCUCCGGCCACGGGCCCGCUCCGGCCGCGGGGAGCUGGGGGCCUGCCGGGGAGGGAAGAACGGCGGCAGCCCUUUCCCCGUUCCUCCCGUGCUCCGGGACCCCGAGCAGAGCUGCUCGUUUGUCCCCGUGUCCCUGUGUCUGUCCUCAGGCGGCCCCAGGAGCUGGCACUGACCGUGCCGCGGCUCGGGCACAGGCUGCUCCCAGCUCUGCCUGCGGAACUUCGGCAAUUACCGACAGCAGUUCUUUGCCCUGCCAUCCAGAAGGUGCGGCUCAUCUGACACCAGCCAGACGGGGAAGGCCCUGCCUGGGAGGGAAACGGCUACAGGGGAGGAAACCAAGAAAUGCUCCAACCGGAUGGUGCUGCGCGAGUCAAAAGAGGGGCAAGACCGCGGGCAAAUACAGUCAGGAAAUGAGCUUUUAUUCAAUCUCUGCAGGAGCCCUUCGCAGCCACGGGCCGGAGGGAGCGCGGCCGGCUGGGCUGUGCCCGGCUGGGGACGGGCACCAAUUCAUCGCUGCCCUGCUCAGGGAGGUUUUCCGGCCCCGUCCGGGCUUCACCCAACGGCUGCAAAGGUGCUCGUGCGGCAUCCGAGCUCAUUUCCAGGGAUAAAGGAGCCAAAUGAGUCCGGAGGGAUCCCUCGCUCCGAGGCAAAGGCGUUUGGUCGAGUGUCGCCGCCUGGUCCCGCCUGCGGGGGAGCGUCUCCUCCAGUUUCCCAGGGAGAAGAACAGGAACUCACAGCCACCAAGGCCUGACAGUCCCCUGCAGCCAGAGCUCAGCACACAGCCAGAGAGGCAAUUCCAGCAUCUAAAAGAAAAAAAAAGAAGAAAAAAGUGA